AAAAAUGUAUGAAAUCCUCGAAAACGUUGUCACCGCUUUAAUUAAUACACAUCUGUUGCAAUACAAUGUCUUUUUAGCUUUACAGAAAUAUGUUAUUGUCAAUAGUCCACUAAACUUAAACACAAGGCUGCAUAUACAUGUUUCAUAUGCAUGAUAUUUCAUUGUAUUUAUGAUAUGCAAAUAAAAAAAUAUUUUCCUAUAAUACUAAGAUUACAGUAGCUGUAUUAAAAAAAAUAUAAAUCUAGC
rnacentral:lncRNA from 1 species